CAAAUGCAACCUUUCUUGGCUCAUUGUAAUCUUGGCCAUGAUGUUAACACAUUGCAAAAAGAAUGGGAUCAAAAAGCCUCUUGAGUAGGAUGCCCCAUUGAGUUGAACAUGGUGACUUAAAAUGCAUCAUUUGGCUGAGUUUUGAGGAGUUUCAAGUCACAAUUUUCCCACACUUGGAUCAAAUUCGUUUUGCACGAAUUCAGCAUCAUUCUACACGUAUUUGGAUCCAA
rnacentral:lncRNA from 1 species